AGAGUUUGAUCCUGGCUCAGGAUGAACGCUAGCUACAGGCUUAACACAUGCAAGUCGAGGGGAAACGAUAUUGGAAGCUUGCUUCCGAUAGGCGUCGACCGGCGCACGGGUGAGUAACGCGUAUCCAACCUGCCCACCACUUGGGGAUAACCUUGCGAAAGUAAGACUAAUACCCAAUGACGUCUCUAGAAGACAUCUGAAAGAGAUUAAAGAUUUAUCGGUGAUGGAUGGGGAUGCGUCUGAUUAGCUUGUUGGCGGGGUAACGGCCACGAAGGCUACGAUCAGUAGGGGUCUGAGAGGAAGGUCCCCANAUUGGAACUGAGACACGGUCCAAACUCCUACGGGAGCA
rnacentral:rRNA from 1 species